CGGAGCGUAGCGCAGCCUGGUAGCGCACCUGCAUGGGGUGCAGGGGGUCGAAGGUUCAAAUCCUUUCGCUCCGACCA
rnacentral:tRNA from 1 species